CCCGGGCUGGGCAGGGUGCUGAGAGAGCUGGUGACGACGCGACCCGUCUCGUGAGCUGUGUGCCUUGGGCACGCCACCAUUUUCCUCCGCAGACUGCAAAUUGCUGUCUGCCCCGGCCCCGCAGGGCGGUGCGCUUGGCGCGCUGAGAGGAGGGGCUGUGUUGCCAUCAGGGUUGGUCGAGGGAGCUCAGAGGAAGAUAAGGCGGGUGGAAGACAGUUUGGAUGAGCUGAAUGAAGAGUUCUUCCAGCUCACUGCUCAAGCCUUAGCACUCCAGAAAGAAGAGGCCAGGCCAGGCCAACGCCUACCAAGCGAAGGCAAUACAUGUGUGGUGGUUCCCGGCACCCGCCCGCCUGUGCGGCAGGAAGACAGACCGGGCCCAGGAGAGGCAGGUGGCCCCGGUGGAGAGAACCUGGUAUCCUGGGCCCUGCAGAGCCACCAGGCCCUGGCGCUGGAGCUGAGGAGAGCCUGGCUGGCCCGGAGAGCGGAGGAGCUGGAGUGGGAGCUGUCCCUGCUCCUCCAGGUGGCAGCCGGCAGCCGGCAGCGCCUGGGGAGACGCUGAGUCACACGGGAGGCCGCGGCGCCUUCUCCACGAGGGACGCAGCCGGUCGCCUCUGCUCUCUGCUGGCAGGAAGGGUGGCAUCUGGGGGUCCACUGGCCAGGAGAGUGUGCUCAGCGUUGGGACGUGGUCCCAGACAACACCCAGACUUCUUUCAAGUCCUGGGCCUCAGCUUGUGCUGAUUUCUGCCUGUGAUCCUUGGGGCGAGGGAAAAUAAAGGCACACC